GAUUACAUUAACAUUGGGACCGGUGUUACAACUAUGAGAAGAGAAUUUUCUCCCUUGUUAUGACUUAGUAUAUUACAAGUUCUAUUAAUAGCAUAUAUAACUUUAUCCCAUUGGUUAACUAAAAUCUCACACUUCUGAAUUCUUUCUUCAUUUCUGAUUACUUUCUCGUUUUCCUUUCCCCCCUUUGUUUCUUUAUUAUUUGUUUUAAUUCAGGAGUAGUGGGGCAAUGGAGGCAUUCUGAUUCUGGUUCAGGCCGUCAUGAACUUAAAGUUAUCGGGCUCAGACAAUAUUUCCUCAUACAUGACUGCUAUCUCCCGCCUAAAAUCUAAAGCUUUAUCUAUUCUUUUGAAACUCUGUGAAGCUGAAAGUGUAUCAUACCUAGAUGAGGUGGCUAGCAACACAACAACUCAUAAUAUGACAAAGUUGGACUCGAGGUUCUUGCAUUGCUGGUAAAAGCUUGGUAUAGAUUCAAGACAGUUAUAUGCUCCCUCCGAGG